UAGGGAAUCUUCCACAAUGGACGAAAGUCUGAUGGAGCAACGCCGCGUGAGUGAAGAAGGGUUUCGGCUCGUAAAGCUCUGUUGGUAGUGAAGAAAGAUAGAGGUAGUAACUGGCCUUUAUUUGACGAUAAUUACUUAGAAAGUCACGGCUAACUACGUGCC
rnacentral:rRNA from 1 species